AUACCAAAAGCUAGAUUUUUGAGGGGAAGGUUUUUUUAAAAUAACCUUAACCAUCUCCUGCUAUUUGGCAGAAUGAGUAAGACCACACUCCACAGUGGGCUAUACCACCUAGUAUGGUUCAUUACUAUCUUGUGGCCUACAUU
rnacentral:snoRNA from 1 species